rnacentral:rRNA from 1 species
UACGUAGGGUGCGAGCGUUAAUCGGAUUUACUGGGCGUAAAGCGUGCGCAGGCGGCCCGUUAAGACAGGUGUGAAAUCCCUGGGCUCAACCUAGGAAUUGCGCUUGUGACUGGCGGGCUCGAGUACGGUAGAGGGGGGUGGAAUUCCGGGUGUAGCAGUGAAAUGCGUAGAGAUCAGGAGGAACACCGAUGGCGAAGGCAGCCCCCUGGGCCUGUACUGACGCUCAUGCACGAAAGCGUGGGGAGCAAACAGG